UGCACCUCUGCCCAGUGCACCUGGAUCGUUC
rnacentral:piRNA from 1 species